CCUACGGGUGGCUGCAGUGGGGAAUAUUGGACAAUGGGGGGAACCCUGAUCCAGCCAUGCCGCGUGUGUGAAGAAGGCCCUCGGGUUGUAAAGCACUUUCAGUGAGGAAGAACGCCUGGUGGUUAAUACCCAUCAGGAAAGACAUCACUCACAGAAGAAGCACCGGCUAACUCCGUGCCAGCAGCCGCGGUAAUACGGAGGGUGCGAGCGUUAAUCGGAAUUACUGGGCGUAAAGCGCGCGUAGGUGGCUUGAUAAGCCGGUUGUGAAAGCCCCGGGCCCGACCUGGGAACGGCAUCCGGAACUGUCAAGCUAGAGUGCAGGAGAGGAAGGUAGAAUUCCCGGUGUAGCGGUGAAAUGCGUAGAGAUCGGGAGGAAUACCAGUGGCGAAGGCGGCCUUCUGGACUGACACUGACACUGAGGUGCGAAAGCGUGGGUAGCAAACAGGAUUAGAUACCCGAGUAGUC
rnacentral:rRNA from 1 species